GCCUUCGUGGUGUAACGGUUAGCACACUCGGCUCGUAUUCGAGAGGUCCAGGUUCGAGUCCUGGGGAGGCC
rnacentral:tRNA from 1 species